rnacentral:piRNA from 1 species
GCACUAGUCUAGAGACUUGGGAGCCUCCAU